rnacentral:rRNA from 1 species
GAUGAACGCUGGCGGCGUGCCUAAUACAUGCAAGUCGAGCGAACAGAUAAGGAGCUUGCUCCUUUGACGUUAGCGGCGGACGGGUGAGUAACACGUGGAUAACCUACCUAUAAGACUGGGAUAACUUCGGGAAACCGGAGCUAAUACCGGAUAACAUUUUGAACCGCAUGGUUCUAAAGUGAAAGAUGGUUUUGCUGUCACUUAUAGAUGGACCCGCGCCGUAUUAGCUAGUUGGUAAGGUAACGGCUUACCAAGGCGACGAUACGUAGCCGACCUGAGAGGGUGAUCGGCCACACUGGAACUGAGACACGGUCCAGACUCCUACGGGAGGCAGCAGUAGGGAAUCUUCCGCAAUGGGCGAAAGCCUGACGGAGCAACGCCGCGUGAGUGAUGACGGGUUUCGGCUCGUAAAAAUCUGUUAUUAGGGAAGAACCACUGUGUAAGUAACUGUGCACGUCUUGACGGUACUUAAUCAGAAAGCCACGGCUAACUACGUG